rnacentral:tRNA from 1 species
GCGGGCAUAGCUCAGUGGUGGAGUGCAUGCUGCAUGAGGUCCUGGGUUCAAUCCCCAGCAUCUCCA